ACUCCUACGGGAGGCAGCAGUGGGGAAUAUUGCACAAUGGGGGAAACCCUGAUGCAGCCAUGCCGCGUGUGUGAAGAAGGCCUUCGGGUUGUAAAGCACUUUCAGUAGGGAGGAAGGUAGUGUAGUUAACACCUGCAUUAUUUGACGUUACCUACAAUAAGAAGCACUGCAUAACUCCGUGCCAGCAGCCGCGGUAAUACGGAGGGUGCGAGCGUUAAUCGGAAUUACUGGGCGUAAAGCGCAUGCAGGCGGCCUGUUAAGUCAGAUGUGAAAAGCCCGGGGCUUAACCUCGGAAUUGCAUUUGAAACUGGCAGGCUAGAGUCUUGUAGAGGGGGGU
rnacentral:rRNA from 1 species